rnacentral:rRNA from 1 species
UAACAGGAUUAGAUACCCUGGUAGUCCAUGCCGUAAACGUUGGGCACUAGGUGUGGGGGACAUUCCACGUUCUCCGCGCCGUAGCUAACGCAUUAAGUGCCCCGCCUGGGGAGUACGGUCGCAAGGCUAAAACUCAAAGGAAUUGACGGGGGCCCGCACAAGCGGCGGAGCAUGCGGAUUAAUUCGAUGCAACGCGAAGAACCUUACCAAGGCUUGACAUACACUGGACCGUUCUGGAAACAGUUCUUCUCUUUGGAGCUGGUGUACAGGUGGUGCAUGGUUGUCGUCAGCUCGUGUCGUGAGAUGUUGGGUUAAGUCCCGCAACGAGCGCAACCCUCGUUCUAUGUUGCCAGCACGUGAUGGUGGGAACUCAUAGGAGACUGCCGGGGUCAACUCGGAGGAAGGUGGGGAUGACGUCAAAUCAUCAUGCCCUUUAUGUCUUGGGCUUCACGCAUGCUACAAUGGCUGGUACAGAGAGAGGCGAACCCGUGAGGGUAAGCGAAUCCCUUAAAGCCAGUCUCAGUUCGGAUCGUAGUCUGCAAUUCGACUACGUGAAGUCGGAGUCGCUAGUAAUCGCAGAUCAGCAACGCUGCGGUGAAUACGUUCCCGGGCCUUGUACACACCGCCCGUCAAGUCACGAAAGUCGGUAACACCCGAAGCCGGUGUCCCAACCCUUUUGGGAGGGGGCCGUCUAAGGUGGGACUGGUGAUUGGGACUAAGUCGUAACAAGGUAACC